rnacentral:rRNA from 1 species
GUCUGGAAUAAUACGCCAAAGGGGUACUAAUACCGGAUAUUCUUGCUUUUCAUAAGUUAUGCAAGCAAAGGUGGCCUCUGCAUAUGCUACUGCAUGAAGAGGGGUCUGCGUACCAUUAGCUAGUAGGUGGGGUAAUGGCCUACCUAGGCGACGAUGGUUAGCGGGUCUGAGAGGAUGAUCCGCCACACUGGCACUGGAACACGGGCCAGACUCCUACGGGAGGCAGCAGUGAGGAAUAUUGCGCAAUGGGGGAAACCCUGACGCAGCGACGCCGCGUGAAGUGAGGAAGGCCUUCGGGUCGUAAAGCCCUGUCAAGAGGAAAGAAGUGUACAAUGGCUAAUACCUGUUGUAUUUGACGGUACCUCUAAAGGAAGCACCGGCUAACUCCGUGCCAGCCGCCGC